rnacentral:tRNA from 5 species
GGCCUCAUCGUCUAUCGGUUAGGACACCAGGUUUUCAUCCUGGGAAGAGGGGUUCGACUCCCCUUGAGGCUACAA